rnacentral:piRNA from 1 species
UGGCUUCCAUUGUCUUUGUGUGUGUGUGU